UUAUUACUCCCUCCGUCCGAAAAUACUUGUCAUCAGAAUGGAAAAAAAAUGAAUGUACCUAAAAUUAAAAUACGUCUAGAUACAUUCCCUUUUAUUCAUUUUGAUGACAAGUAUUUCCGGACGGAGGGAGUAUUUU
rfam:Triticum aestivum genome assembly, contig: Triticum_aestivum_CS42_TGACv1_scaffold_031688_1BL